AGCCGCGAACGGGUGAGUAACACGUGGGUUACCUGCCUCGAUGACCGGGACAACCCGAGGAAACUCGGGCUAAUACCGGAUGUGCCCGCAAGGGGAAAGGAAGCUUCGGCCUCCGCAUCGAGAUGGGCCCGCGGCCCAUUAGCUUGUUGGUGAGGUAACGGCUCACCAAGGCUUUGAUGGGUAGCUGGUCUGAGAGGACGAUCAGCCACACUGGGACUGAGACACGGCCCAG
rnacentral:rRNA from 1 species